AUUGUAUUCUCUUGGAAUUCAACAAUUUAUCUUCAAUCCAGAAGAAUUACGGCAUCUGCUAAUGAAAUGCAUUCAUAAACUCUAAGAAGAUCCAAAAAACAGGUUGCUUGUCUUGCUGUGAUAUAAAGCACUCCUUCAUCUGCUGUGGUGAAAUUUACUAUGCUUAUGGAUACAUUUUGGGAGUGGAUCUUGGGGUCUUUCAAAGACUCUUCUGAGUUUCACAUCUGGAGAGACAUGGUGAAGCUCAGAGAUGAACUACACAGGAGUGGAAGCCAGAUAACUCAUUUGAUCUACAUAUGACCCCAUGAUAGUUAGAGGUCGUAUGGGGAUUUGGUGAGAAAGACAGAAUUAGAAGUUAUAGUCCUUAAUUUCUAGUUCAGAACUGUUUUAGCAGUUGACAUUUCAAUUUUUUUG
rnacentral:lncRNA from 1 species